UACGAAGGGGGCUAGCGUUGCUCGGAAUUACUGGGCGUAAAGGGAGCGUAGGCGGGAUAACAAGUUGGAGGUGAAAGCCCAGGGCUCAACCUUGGAAUUGCCUUCAAAACUGUUAUCCUAGAGUAUGGAAGAGGUAAGUGGAACUCCGAGUGUAGAGGUGAAAUUCGUAGAUAUUCGGAAGAACACCAGUGGCGAAGGCGACUUACUGGUCCAUGACUGACGCUGAGGCUCGAAAGCGUGGGGAGCAAACAGG
rnacentral:rRNA from 1 species